GUGUCAGCCGCCGCGGUAAUACGUAGGGCGCAAGCGUUGUCCGGAAUUAUUGGGCGUAAAGAGCUCGUAGGCGGUCCGUUACGUCGGGAGUGAAAACCCGGGGCUUAACCCCGGGCCUGCUUUCGAUACGGGCAGACUAGAGUAUGGCAGGGGAGACUGGAAUUCCUGGUGUAGCGGUGAAAUGCGCAGAUAUCAGGAGGAACACCGGUGGCGAAGGCGGGUCUCUGGGCCAUUACUGACGCUGAGGAGCGAAAGCGUGGGGAGCAAACAGGAUUAGAAACCCCCGUAGUCC
rnacentral:rRNA from 1 species